rnacentral:rRNA from 1 species
GACGGAACGCGUGGCGGCGUCGCCGUAACGACAUGCAAGUCGAGCGAAGUGCUUUUAACAGAGUUCCUUCGGGGAUAGGAAGACUAAAGUAUCUUAGCGGCGGACGGGUGAGUAACGCGUGAGAAACCUGCCUUUCACAAGGGAAUAGCCUCGGGAAACUGGGAUUAAUGCCCUAUGAUACUUUUAAAUCGCAUGAUUUUUAAGUUAAAACGUAAAGUGGUGAAAGAUGGUCUCGCGUCCCAUUAGUUAGUUGGUGAGGUAAUGGCUCACCAAGACUUCGAUGGGUAGCCGGCCUGAGAGGGUGAACGGCCACACUGGAACUGAGACACGGUCCAG